UGGGGAAUAUUGCACAAUGGGCGCAAGCCUGAUGCAGCCAUGCCGCGUGUAUGAAGAAGGCCUUCGGGUUGUAAAGUACUUUCAGUCGGGAGGAAGGUGGUAAGGUUAAUAACCUUGGCAAUUGACGUUACCGACAGAAGAAGCACCGGCUAACUCCGUGCCAGCAGCCGCGGUAAUACGGAGGGUGCAAGCGUUAAUCGGAAUUACUGGGCGUAAAGCGCACGCAGGCGGUUGAUUGAGUCAGAUGUGAAAUCCCCGGGCUUAACCCGGGAAUUGCUUGUGAUACUGGUAAGCUAGAUUCUUGUAGGGGGGGGUAGAAUUCCAUGUGUAGCGGUGAAAUGCGAAGAGAUGUGAGGAAUACCGGUGGCGAAGGCGGCCCCCUGGACAAAGACUGACGCUCAGGUGCGAAAGCGUGGGGAGCAAACAGG
rnacentral:rRNA from 1 species